rnacentral:rRNA from 1 species
GACGAACGCUGGCGGCGUGCUUAACACAUGCAAGUCGAACGGUUAGGCCCUGCUUUUGUGGGGUGCUCGAGUGGCGAACGGGUGAGUAACACGUGAGUAACCUGCCCUUGACUUUGGGAUAACUUCAGGAAACUGGCGCUAAUACCGGAUAUGAGCUCCUGCUGCAUGGUGGGCGUUGUAAAGUUUGGGGGGUUGGGGAUGGAGUCUCGGCUUAUGAGCUUGUUGGUGGGGUAGUGGCUUACGACGGCUUUGACGGGUAGCCGGCAUGAGAGGGUGACCGGCCACAAUGGGACUGAGGGAGGGACCAGAAUGGAACGGGAGGCAGCAGUGGGGAAUAUUGCAGAAUGGGGGGAAGUCAGAGGAAAAAGUGCCGCGUGCGGGAUGAUGGGCUGCGGGUGGAGAACAGGUUUGGCAGGUGCUGAAGGGUGAGUGACGGUAAUGAGUAAAGAAGCAACGGCUAACUACGUG